GGGCGAUUAACUCAAUUGGGAGAGUGUCUGGUUUGCAACCAGAAGGUUAGGGGUUCGAUUCCCCUAUUGUCCA
rnacentral:tRNA from 1 species